ensembl:lncRNA
GCUUGGGAGGAGCCCAGGCCCUGGUGUGUUCCGGAUGCUGUUGCCUGGGGCCUCAGCCCCACCCAGGCAGUGAUGACCCUGCAAGGCCCAGCCUCCCAUCCACCUGUCUGUACCCGUGUGUGCAGGGCUCCAGGUGUUCCCUCGGGUGCCGCCUCGCUGCCUGCUGAGCUUUCCUGCACUUGGACUGGUGGCCUGUGCUGCCCCUGUGGGCACAACCCAGUGCCCAGUGCCUCCCCCUACCCACAGAGUGCCUCAGGACAGCUCAUCCCUGUCCACCGGGGACUAGCACCGUCACUGACCUCUCAGAGUUAUGGGGACGCAGUGCAUGUCAAGAGCCCGGCUCCUUCUCAAAGACAAAAUACUGCCGCCUGGAACGCCUCACUGUGACAUGACACUGUGACACAAUUGCAUGCUGCGAAGAGCAGUCUGCUCCUUUUCUACAGAUGAGAAAACCAGCGCUGCCGGGUCGUCAGCCAAUUCAGCACAAUGAGAAGGAUAGAACCUGAGCCUGACGCCGAAGCGGCAGACCUAGAUGAAGAGAGUCCCUUCAGUGUCUUUCCUAUGUGACUAUUAAGCAUGCGUGAGGGAGGCAUCAACCCAGUCCAUCACAGUCCAGGCGUCGGAGGGAAAGCCAAGUCCAAGGCCUGUUUUACACUCUGAGUUUUCCUCUGGAUGAAUAAAACAGUUCAUUAUUGAGAUGGCCACUGAGUCCUGCACCCGAAACGUCGAUAGCCAAGGUAAUUGGGGGCCUCUGUCGGCCACUCAGUCCUUAAGAAGAAUUUUCAGGUAGAUUUCAGCUGGGAGCACUGAAUUCUACUUAGAAUGUAAAAUGCGUCUGUGAAGUGUUUCCUCUGAAGUGGGAACAGGUAAUUGAUUUUUUUAAAGAAAGCCACCUUUCUGGAUUCUGGGAAACACUUUUAGGUCUGUCUUUUAUUUUUCUGUGCAUAAAGGCAAUUAUCCCAGGUCAGCACUUCCCACAGGAAAUGGGACUCUAAUUCUGCACAACAAAUGUUUUACUGUUUCAUUUUCCUUAUUGCAGGAGAGAUUGCUGUAGCAGCUUGUUUCACAUCAGAGUGAGAAAAACCAAGCCCUGCCUUAAACAGUGGCUGAGGUUAGAGACUCCACAAGGUUUGGAAAGUCUCCUCUCUGUGUCCAACUCACUGUGUGUUGCUGGGGGAGUUGUUUUCCUGCUCCGUGCCUUAGUUUCCCCAUCUGUACAGCAGUGAUCAGCACAGCACCACCUCUAUUAAUUCCCAGCAGUGGUAGAUAGUAAAAAUGGCCACACGAUUCCAUUUCUCUCUAUGCCCUUUGGAAAUCUGUUCCCACCCUGACAAGGAUCACGGCCAUGUGGCCAAUGGCGACAAUAACAAACCUAAUGCCAACCGAGGCUUGAAAGCACCCACUGCUCUUUGGAACGCUGAGACCUCGGUGAAUGAGCCUGAGCUAGCCUGUUGGAGGGUGAGAGGCCACAUGAGACAGAGGUGAGCCCUCCCAGCUGCACCAGACAGAAGCCUGAGGACAUUCUAGAUGAGCUGGCCCAGACCAGAAGAUCCAUAGAAUUGUUAGGAAUAAUUGCUUAUUUUUGUUUGUUUGAGAGACAGUCUUGCUCCUCACUCAGGCUGGAGUGUGGUGGCGCAAUCUCAGCUGACUGCAACCUCUACUUCUCGGGUUCAAGAGAUUCUCCUGCCUCAGCCUCCCGAGUUGCUGGGAUCAUAGGUGCCCACUACUCCCGGCUAAGUUUUGUAUUUUUAGUAGAGACAAGGUUUCACCAUGUUGGCCAGUCUGAUCUUGAACUCUUGACCUCAGGUGAUCCGCAUGCCUGGGCCUCCCAAAGUGCUGGGAUUAUAGGUGUGAGCCACCGCACCCGGCCAGCGUGUUGUUU